CACAAGAAGAACAAUGUUUGGGGGGAAAGACACUUUAGAUUCUGUGUUCCAUUAAUGCACAGACAAAGAACACAGGAGAUCAGGCAGAGAUUCCAGUUACACCUUGCACAGACUGACACAGGCUGCCAGCCUUCAACUGAAGAUAUCACUUGCACACGUUACAAUUGUUUCUGAUCAGAAGGGGAAUUCUAGUUUCCAAAGCUAAUGAACAUUACAAAAAUCUCUGAAGAAUAUUCCUAUUGGGCACAGGUAGGGUCCUAUAUU